CAGUAGCCACGGUAAUACGGAGGAUCCAAGCGUUAUCCGGAAUCAUUGGGUUUAAAGGGUCCGUAGGCGGUCUUGUAAGUCAGUGGUGAAAGCCCAUCGCUCAACGGUGGAACGGCCAUUGAUACUGCAGGACUUGAAUUAUUGGGAAGUAACUAGAAUAUGUAGUGUAGCGGUGAAAUGCUUAGAGAUUACAUGGAAUACCAAUUGCGAAGGCAGGUUACUACCAAUUGAUUGACGCUGAUGGACGAAAGCGUGGGUAGCGAACAGGAUUAGAUACCCCCGUAGUCCCUGUCUCUUAUAA
rnacentral:rRNA from 1 species